UACAGAGACUGCAAGCGUUAUUCGGAUUCACUGGGCGUAAAGGGUGCGCAGGCGGCCGAGUGUGUGAGGCGUGAAAGCCCGGGGCUUAACCCCGGAAUUGCACCUCAAACUACACGGCUAGAGCAUUGGAGAGGUAGCAGAAUUCACGGUGUAGCAGUGAAAUGCGUAGAUAUCGUGAGGAAUACCAGAGGCGAAGGCGGCUACCUGGACAAUUGCUGACGCUCAGGCACGAAAGCGUGGGGAGCAAAAGGG
rnacentral:rRNA from 1 species